GCAAGGUUGGCCGAGUGGUUAAGGCGCUGCACUCAAGUUGAGAACUUCCCGAUGAACGAGCGGGAGCAUUGCAGUCCCGCAUGGGUCGUGGGUUCGAAUCCCACACCUUGCA